ensembl:ncRNA T25D10.8 ncRNA
UUCAUCUAGUUUCCGACAAUUAUACGAUUAUUCUGCAUCAGUUUAUAUGUUCUUUUUUAUUUCAACGAUUGAAAGAAACAAAAAGUUAACCCUCUGGAAGUAGCUACUCAUUUUUAUAACAAC